CCGCGAAACGGGAUCAUCUUGCCGAUGCCGGCAAAAUGAUCCCGUCUGCCCGGCAUGGUUGCCGGGUACUGACGAGCAGCCAAAC
rnacentral:hammerhead_ribozyme from 1 species